CUGCUGGGAAAGGAGGAGCUGAGUGGGAGCCUGCUACAGUCAGUCGAGGAGGCCCUGGAGGAAAGGAGCCUGACCAUCCGGCCAGCCUCAGAACUCCAGGAGCUGGACUCCCCAGACGAUGCCAUGGGAACCAUCAAGCGGGCCCCCUUCUUGGGGCCACCCCCUGCUGAGCCUCCAGCUGAAGACCCUCUGUCCAGCCC